ensembl:misc_RNA Metazoa_SRP Metazoan signal recognition particle RNA
GCUGGGCUCAGUGGUGCAUGCCUGUAGUCCCAGCUACUUAGGAGGCUGAAGUGUGAGGACUGCUGAAGCCCUGAAGCUCUGGCUGUAGUGUGCUAUGUGGAUCAGGGGUCUGCACUAAGUUAGACAUCAACAUGGUGACCUCAUGGGAGCAAGGGGACCACCAGGUUCAUGUGGGGUGAACCAGCCCAGGUCAGAAUGAAGCAAGUCAAAACUCCUGUGCUGAUUUGUAGUGUGAUUGUGCCUGUGUAUAGCCACUGCACCCGAGCCUGGGCAAUGUAGCAAGACCCUGUCUCCA